ensembl:lncRNA
GUUACAAUUAGAGUACUGGUGUAAUUAUUCAUGCAGACAAUUGUAAAGAAUGUGGCUGUUUCUUGUCUUUUUGAGAUUGUUCUAGAUGUUUCCAGAAGUAGCAAAGACCCUAGGGACAUUGUUCUGUGGCAGAAUGGGGUGGGGCUAUGCUCCUAGGGCAGCUGCAUUUAAUUCAAUGGGGUAAACAUUUACCUGUGGAGUUGCAGUUCUACCAGUUACUCUCUAUUGUCUGCAAAUACCUUUGGAAAAGUUCUUACAUUGUUGGAGUUGGCUUUUGUGUAACACGUUGGAAGAUAAGCUAAUGCAGAAGGCACUGGAUUUUUUCCUCUUAGAAGUAGGCAUGACAGCAGCUACAUUCAGGGUCAAAAGGAUCUGCUCUGAGUCAUCCUUCUCCAAGGAAAGCAUCUAUCUUUGCCUACUCUUCCCUUCUGUUCUUUAUGAAAGUCCUUCAAUUUUCAGUCUUUUGAAACCUUGGUUUCCCACAGCAAGAAGUCUCAGAGGCCUUUGCUGGUGCAUUUCCAAAGCAGAUGCCUGGUGAACAAGAAAUUGCAGCAGGGGAUAUCUCUUUGCUUCUCUUGGCUACUGAAAAAGAAAGAGUUGUAGUUGUUCAUAGCCCAGCUCUUUGUCAAGAGGUCUGUUCUGAAUGGCUUCAUCUCCUGAUCAUCUCUAAUCAAAGGCACAAUGAAGAGACCUUUUUAAAAAUGACAGUGGAGAGAGGAUAGUUUUUCCAGUACUCAUUUGAUUGGACAUUUUUCAAAAACACUGUUAUCUAACAAGCAAAAGGUGGAGGGCAACACUGAAACACCAGCUGUUUUGGAAUGCAAGGAAAAAGCUCACCUGCAACACCUGGAUAUAG